ACUGGGUAUUGACUAUGAAAAAUCGUAUAUUGGCCAAGACUGAAAAGAUGCCAAAUAUGGGAUGUGUAAUUUGGACAGGCUGCCAAAAAUGGGACAAAAGAAAGGAUUAUAACAAAUAUGGAGUUAUUCAUGCAAAAAUACCUGGUCGUCCAAAACACCAAACUUUUAAAGUACACCGACUCCAGUAUAUGCUCCACCACAAUCACUUUGACAUACCUCGUAGCAUGGAUGUAUCGCAUUUAUGUCACCACUCCCUCUGUGUUAAUAUUGAACACUUGAGCCUCGAACCACAUUAUGUUAACAACAACCGUCAACACUGUCUAAACAUUGUCCCGAAACACUGCAUCGGCCAUCCAGGUUAUAGAGACUGUUUUUUUCUUCUUGGGGACAGGUACGUAUGAUCUGUUAGACAUGGUGGUACAACUUCGGAGUCAAGUACAUUCUUCUUGUAGGUUGUUCUUGCAGUACUGUUGUGUUUGUCAUCAUAUUGCUGGUAUCGAACCUUGCGGAGAUAAUUUCUUCGGGAUCUGUACCGAGUAGUUUUUUUCCUAGUAGCAUGAUACCGGUCUUCACGUUCCCGAGCUUUCAGUUCUGCGAGGGCGUGUAUUCUUCCAGUCAGUGGGGCUCCCACUAGUUGACAUCUUGUAACAGUAGACUUUAGAAUUCCUUUGUUGAGCAUGUGGGCUGCACUGUGUAUUCUUGCUUCAAAGUUGCGAUAGAAUGUCACUUGUUUCGGAUUUGUUCUAGUAUAAGCCCGGUUGACACUUUCUACUUUUUGAGUGUUUGUAUUGAGUUUUGUUUUAAGAAGUGCAGUUUUGCCGAGUCGAAGUUCUAGGCAUUUUCUUAACAAUUCUUUAUCGCCUUCUUUCAUUUUCAGAACUGAAUCUGCAGGUAAAUAGGCAGGUUUCCAUGCCUUGAUCCGCCUGCCCGAACACACAAAUGAAUGCCUUUGACACAGUGUUGAACAGUUGCCACUCACACAGGCCACGAUGGAAUCGAUGGUGUGUUUCGUUCUCAGCAAUGGUGUAGACCGCUUGAGUUGCAGGCUGGAGGGGUGUGCUCGAGUUCCCACCGAAAAGUCUGUUGUUGUAACGGCAGUCUCCCUCAACACUUAUCUUGUGAUCACUGGAAAUCUUCCAAGGCAUCGGGAACAGCUGGGUGAGGCCGAAGUAACCGCAUAUUGCCAGUCAUCCCCUGUGAAUCGGUGACCACAUAUGAAGAUGCACCUCGACUCGUUGACGGCUUAGCCACUGCAUCAAAGUCUUCCCUGGACAGCCUGGUACAGGCCAUAUCAGACCAAUACAGUGACACUCCUCAAAGAGUUAUCUCCCCUUGACCAGUCGUCAACAUAUAACCAAGUGACUUUCGUGAAGUGCAAAAUAACUGAAUCUGCAGGUAAAUAGGCAGGUUUCCAUGCCUUGAUCCGCCUGCCCGAACACACAAAUGAAUGCCUUUGACACAGUGUUGAACAGUUGCCACUCACACAGGCCACGAUGGAAUCGAUGGUGUGUUUCGUUCUCAGCAAUGGUGUAGACCGCUUGAGUUGCAGGCUGGAGGGGUGUGCUCGAGUUCCCACCGAAAAGUCUGUUGUUGUAACGGCAGUCUCCCUCAACACUUAUCUUGUGAUCACUGGAAAUCUUCCAAGGCAUCGGGAACAGCUGGGUGAGGCCGAAGUAACCGCAUAUUGCCAGUCAUCCCCUGUGAAUCGGUGACCACAUAUGAAGAUGCACCUCGACUCGUUGACGGCUUAGCCACUGCAUCAAAGUCUUCCCUGGACAGCCUGGUACAGGCCAUAUCAGACCAAUACAGUGACACUCCUCAAAGAGUUAUCUCCCCUUGACCAGUCGUCAACAUAUAACCAAGUGACUUUCGUGAAGUGCAAAAUAACUGAAUCUGCAGGUAAAUAGGCAGGUUUCCAUGCCUUGAUCCGCCUGCCCGAACACACAAAUGAAUGCCUUUGACACAGUGUUGAACAGUUGCCACUCACACAGGCCACGAUGGAAUCGAUGGUGUGUUUCGUUCUCAGCAAUGGUGUAGACCGCUUGAGUUGCAGGCUGGAGGGGUGUGCUCGAGUUCCCACCGAAAAGUCUGUUGUUGUAACGGCAGUCUCCCUCAACACUUAUCUUGUGAUCACUGGAAAUCUUCCAAGGCAUCGGGAACAGCUGGGUGAGGCCGAAGUAACCGCAUAUUGCCAGUCAUCCCCUGUGAAUCGGUGACCACAUAUGAAGAUGCACCUCGACUCGUUGACGGCUUAGCCACUGCAUCAAAGUCUUCCCUGGACAGCCUGGUACAGGCCAUAUCAGACCAAUACAGUGACACUCCUCAAAGAGU
rnacentral:lncRNA from 1 species